rnacentral:ncRNA from 1 species
AAUAGCGCAUGUACUGAACGGAGACAGCCGGUUUCAGUUGACGAGGAAGAGGAGUAUCGAAUCACUCAGCGGAUGCCUCUCGGCCGACUCGGGUCGUUAUGUUAGUGACAAAGGCCAUCGGUGACGAUGGAGACAAAGCAC